GCAAUAUGAAGAUGAAAAGUGCAUUUGUUUACGGCUGUUGUAUACUUCUGACCUUAAAAUCAAUAAAGUGAUAAAAUCUUCUGAACCUCUCAAAUCUAUUUGGAAACUAUUUUUUGUUAGAGUGCUGCAUUCUUACACACAUGUGAAAUUGCUAAUUCCAAGUUGGAUAUUGCAGAGGACUGCUCAGAACUUCCAACAGAAUCAGAUAUUGACGCAAAAAAAAAAGGAAAGCGGAAAGGUCAUUACCAGUUUUAUGGAAUGAAUUGUGCGAUUCAGAUUCUGAUUAUACAAAAUCUGAAAAUGGAAAGAAAUUUUCGGUAUCAAUUUCAACCUCAAACCUGAAGUUUUCUACUCCUCAGUUGCAAUCAAAAAUUCAAAAUAGGCCUCUUCAAAAUGCAUCAUCUACUAUCUGCUCUCUCUGGUCAUUAUUUUUAAACGAUUUAUCUUUUAGUAAAAAAGACAACCAAACUACACUACCAUCAUCAAUAUUAACGCCAGUGCUUACUAUAGCACUGCAAGUAGAGCAGUUAUCGCCUGAUUUGGUCAAUUGUCAUGUUGGAGGAAAUGAUCAUCGAAAACUAAUAUUAUUAGAAGAGAUUAAACAAAUUAAUCAAACGAUAAUUUUUCUUCUGCAACAAUUAUCAGCACAACAGCAGCGUGGUAAUAUAGAAACAAGUUUUGAUGAGUUGGGCUUCCUGUUUCAUUAAUGGAACAUUUACAAAAACUAGAAACAGAUUGCCUUGACAAUGACGAUAGUCAUAAUCCUCCGAGGAUAGUUUAUGCUGUUCGGCGUAAUCCAUGUCGCGGUACGGAUGCAAGGUUGCUUGUGCCAUUAAAGCAUGGCUUCGAUUCGCAAAAUUCGUGUGGAGGGAGGAGAAGAAACAUCAUUUUAACGAUUUUAGUUAUAUAGUUUUAUAUAUA
rnacentral:lncRNA from 1 species